rnacentral:rRNA from 1 species
AACGAACGCUGGCGGCAUGCCUAACACAUGCAAGUCGAACGAGACCUCCGUGACUACUUGCGCACGGGUGCGUCACGUGUGGGAACCUGCCCGUAGGUUCGGAAUAACUCCCCUUCAGGGGUGCUAAUACCGGAUAAUUUCCGCUGACCAAAGAUAUAACCCCCUUGGAUGAGCACGCGUUGGUUUAGCUUGUUGGGGGUGUAUGAGCCUAUCACGGCGUCGAUCCGUAGCUGGUCUGAGAGGAUGAUCAGCCACACUGGGACUGAGACACGGUCCGGACUCCUACGAGAGGCACCAGUGGGGAAUAUUGGAGAAGGGGCGCAAGGGGGAUCCAGCCAUACCGCGGGGGUGAAGAAGGCCUCCGGGUCGUAGAGCCCGUUUGUGGGGAAAGAAAAGCAGCAGUUUUAUACCGCGCUGUUCUGACGGUACCCGAAGAAUAAGCCCCGGCUAACUUCGUG